CCUGAGGCAACAAGACCAAUGCUGUUGACCAGUAAAUGGAACCAGGGCUCCUUGGAAAAUGGCCGAUUCUAGGACUGAGACAGGUCCCUGGCUAAGACGUGCUGGGGAUCAGAAGCAUGCCUUCUCUCUACCUCUGAACCUCCCAACUCAUCUCCGAGCGGCAGCUGAGACACAUCCAAACCCUUAUUGUUGCUAAACUUGAAGGAGGGAGACAAUGGAGCUGAGCACAGCAGUUUAAACCCAGUACUUGAAUCGUAACAGAAUGACACCAUCCCUGUCCAUGCUGGAGGGAUCCAUUUUCUGCAUAAUCCCCUCUUCCUGCCAUCUGUAAAUCUGUUCUCAGAGCCGACUCCAGGAGAGGGCUGCUCCCCAGGGAUGAUUUCCCAUCAAGAUACUACCAACAGAUGAGAGAUAAUAUUAGCUAACAACAUAUCAGCACUCCUCUGAUGUUUGGCAACUACUUGUCAGAAAACUUCAAGAAGAUGCUUGCGUUUUGGAGACUGUCAAUCUAAGAGGAACUAAAAGUUCCAGAAGAGAUGAUUUAGGCCAAUUCUGAAUGAGCCUGAGGAAUUAAAUG